GAAUAGCUCAGUUGGUAGAGCAUGAGACUCUUAAAACAGGGUCGUGGGUGUGAGCCCCAUGUUGGACA